AGCGCUUGCACUGCGCGGGGGACCGUGGGGCAGGGGGCCGUGUCCCCCCUGCAGCGCCCCGGGCCCCGUGCUGCUGCCCCGCGGCGACGCUGCCGGCCUGGAGACCCCGGGGUGCAGGCCGGGACUGUCCCCCGCUGCGGGCUCCUCAGCUCUCGUGGACAAAAAAGACUUUUUUUCUCUAAAAAAAGCAGAACCGCUCUGUGUCCUGGCAUUGCCCGUUGCAGGGAGAUGCAGAGCCUCGGAGCGAGGAGCAGCCUGCUUUUUCCCAGGCUUCCCAGGCCAAUUUUGCAAGCCCGGGUCAGGCAGCUCGUGGUUUCAGAUGCCAGGGCCCGGCGGUCGGGGCACGCGGACACGGGCGAGAGCGUCGUGGCGCUGGCCACGGGCAGGCCAUGGCCCCGGCAGAGCAGGUGCCGCAUCGGCCCCGCUCCUGGUGCGUCGUUACUGGUGGAUCCCGCGUCUCUCCCCAGGAGCAUCCCAGGACGGCACAAAAAAGGGGCCGUACUCUGCCAUCCCCUCUCAGGCCAGCAGGCCCCUCGGAGCUGCUGUGCUCGCUUGUGUGAGCAGGAUUAGCUGGAUUUGUCCCCACAUAAACAGGGCUCAGGAUGGUUUUCUAAAAGGGGUAAUGUUGCUGCAUUGUGUUACAAAGCAUCUGAGCAGAGGCAGGCGAGGCGCUGGAGCCGGCCCUUUCUCCCCAUGCUUUAUGAGCCGUGAAUAUUUUGAUUCCUUUGGUGUCAUUGUUUUUGCAUAUCUUUCUGUGUCUGGCAUAAUCCUAUGAAAAUAAUAUAUUUUUUCCAAGCCCUGUGCGUGCCGUUAGCAGCCGGUGGUUGCACGCAGCGCGGAGGCAGAGGCCUGACAGCAUUCGAGCAGGUUGCGUUCACGGGUCUCAGCGCUGCGGCACCAGGAAGUCAGUUCCUGUGAUAACUCUGUUGCCUUUAAAGCUCUGAUUUCCAGAGCAAUGAGUUGGGUGUAGUGUUGUGUGUUUGCAUUUUUUUUUUCGUAUGAUGUUCCCAAAUUAAAUGCAGCGCACGCUAACUAAUAACAGCCUUUUCGGCUGAGCCUAACUUUCAGGACUGUUUGAUAAAUCAUCCCUGUUGUUUGCACUGCUGGUGUGGUUCAAACUGCUUGGGAAAUCUCCCUGCAGAGAUGCACGCUUGCUCUGGAGAGGUGAAAUGCGAGGGGAAGCUUUACUUUCUUUGCAGAAAAAUAAUUGUAAUGUCUAGUGUGCAGAAGGAGAUAAUUUGUGUCGCGCAGACCGAGCUGCCCAUCCCCUGAAAUAAGGCUCGUGGGUCAUCUUGCCGUGCUGUCCGUGUAGGUUAAAAGCAUGAUCCGCGUCUCGCGAGCGCCCACUCACCUGGACGUGCCCGGAGGCAGGAGAGGGGCUUGCGUGGGCGCUUACGCCGGGCAGCGAGGCUGCCGAAGGCGCUGGUCGAGGCGAGGCCGUUUCGGUGGCUUUGCAGGCGCGUGCGUGGAAAGGCUCGUGCGGGACGGAGGGAGGUGGCUGCGCUAAGGAAGGAGCAGAUAUGUUCUGGUAGCAGGAUGCUGAAUUUUAUUCUCGGUGACGAAGGUUGUGCGCCGCGCAGGCUUUCUCUUAGCGAACGCUUUGGCAGUGUUUCUCCGUUUUAUCCAUUUGUGUGAAAAGAAACUUUAGCAAAAAGGAUUGGGGAGAAGAAGGGAAUUUAGCUGAAUGGUUUUGCUUUGGCAACUUGUUCAAUAGCGUCAGCUUUCGAAUUACCCGGGCGGGCGGGACGGGGGUCCGGCAGGUCCCCUCCUCGCCGGGGCAGCGUGGGAGCCGGUCGGGCCCGCGGCAGCCGCAGGUGCACGGCGGCUCGGUGAGCUGCUCUCCCUGCGGGGAAAAAAGUGGAGCAGGGCCAGUGAAAUCCGGUGUUUGGCGUGGGGGGAACCGGUGUGUCCCGCCGCUCCCGGGAGGCCGCGGCCGCUUGCUGACAGGGUCACGGCGUUCACUCCCUGCGUUUGCGUGCCGCGGAGAGCACCCGCGCCGGAAAAUAGCCGCCAGGUCCCGCGAGGCUGCGAAUCAGCUUAGAGCACCUGCCUGAAAUAAAAAUAUCUCCUUCCUUCUUUUAUUUAAAUUCCUCCCCAGUUUCGCUAAAGACACUAUUGCACAGCAAAAUCUUGCAUGCUUUUUUUUUUUUUUUAAACAAUUUUUCCUGCUUUCUGUACUUUACACAGCACAGUUCUGCCAUCUGGGGCAAGAGGCUGUUCUUUUUGUUCAUUUUUUCCCCCUAUUUUCAUUGUCUCCUGCUUUGAUUUUUAUCUGCAUUAGAAGAACGCAGCUGAAAUUAGGUUUUUCACCGCUUCACUGCAUUGUUACUGAAAAUAAACAUUUAUUUUGUUUGCAUUUAGCAUCCUGUUAAAUCCAUCGACCUGAGUUUCUCAGUAAUUAUUAAUAUCCCCAAGAAAGGACUAAAAACUUGUGUUGAGAUCACUGAGAGAAACUCGGCCUUAACUGUAGGAGAAGUCUGAAUUUGGGCCCAAAUAUGAUCCUCAGUUAAGAAAAAAAACUUGCUGUGUAGCAGAGAAAAGCAAGCGUGAAGCAGUGUCUCAGACGCAUGCUGGGUGUUCAGGGCUCGGCUUCGGGCCGCUCGCGGGGGCAGCAGCUCCUAGGGCUGAGGAGGGCAGAUAUUCCCAGUAAUAAUCAUUUUCCUGUAAUGUUUAUUUUUACUGAAAAGAAGCUGCUGCAGGAACUUACUGAUACCGGCAAUCAGAAAUAUUUAAAAUUUAUGUGCUAGGCACCCCCGAAUCAGACUUGUUCAGUUUGGUGAGAUUCAGAAAGAAAAAGAAAGUGGCAUCUUUUUCAUUUUUCCCCUGCCCUUUUUUCCAGUGUUGUGGGCCUCAUGGUCCAGACUUUAUUUUGCCUUUUUCUUUGUGACAGCUGUGAGGCCGGGAAGGCAUAUAUCUGUAUUUCAAAGUGUAGUCUGAGAUUUCCUGUAAUUGCCUGACUCUCGAGCUUGAAUUAUAGUUUUAAAAGUGAGGCUAUUGAUAAUAUUAUAAGAACUGGCAACCCUGCAGCAGUAAAAUCUAUAUUUAAUUUUUAAUCUUGGCCUGUAGAAGUAUUUUAAAAUAAUGCAGUAAGUGGAAUGAUUUACUUUCAUAUUGUUACAAGUGCUCAAUUUGUAUUUAAAAUGAGAUACCAAUGUGACAUCGCAAGCUACGACUUUUUUUUUGUCGUUUCCUUUUUGUUCUUUGCUGCUUCGGAAGGAGGAGGCAGGCAAAGGACCAAAGGAGUUGAAACUGCACCUUGAAGAUACUCCCUCUACCUUUGGGAGGACGUUGGGCCGCGCUUAAAAUAAAAUGUGUCGUUGAGGACUUGGUGUCGGAGGAGCUCCCCGGCCCUUUGAGAAAUCUCGGGUUGGAGAUGCUUAAACCCCCCACCCCACCCCCCCGACAUAAUCAUGAGUUUCUUUUGGAAAAUUACGAGCUGGGAAAGGGCGUUUUAAGAAUUAUGAUCUUGGCAGAGCAGCUAUUGGGAUGCGUGGAAGCCUUUGAGUGAUUUCAGCGGGACCUGCGUUGGGUCCCUCGCUGUGCGGAGCGGUCCUGUAAGCCUCGGCUUGCGUCCGUAGUCUCCUACAGGUUUACUCUACCAUGACAUACCAUUUAAGCUAUAUCCUUCGUGGCUGUAAUCAGAGGAUAGAGCAAAAUGCAGUGUGCUCAUGUCUAGUUUUGUUAAGUGUAAUAGUCCCAGUUUCAGGCUGUGGCCCCUGGAUCAGCUUUUUAGAAAUUUCUAACAAAAACUGGAGCAACCGCGGUAUUAAAGCAAGUUUCUUUGUUAUCAUUUAUUUUUUGCCCAAGCUAGAAAAAGAAGUAUUCUAGAGAGAAUAAUAGUUUACGUCAGCCUUGCAGUUUUAUCACACUUAUAUUUCUAGAUUUCAUUGUGUUACUGUAGGUUGAGAAAUAGUUUCCUUCCAGACUGACAAUAAAUUGCUGUGAAAGAAUUAAGCCAGCAUAAAUGCCCCCUGCAAAGUUUAAAAUCACAGAUGCAUCAGUGAAACAUUAAUGUUGCGAAAAUGUGCUUUUUUUUUUUUGCUGUAAUUUUCUGUUCUUAAUCUUGGGCAGUCUUUUACAUAAAGGCUGAUCGUCGGUGCUGCAGCGUGAGCAAAGCGCGCCCGGCAGAGAGGCUGACGCAAGGAAGGGGCAGAGGAGAAAUACUGCGUUUCAUAAACACGAUUGCUAGAGCAUUAGGAGAGCAAACAUGUGGUUUUAUGAACAUAGUUAUAAAUAUUUAAACAUGCAAAAUGAAAAUGUUGCUAAAUGUCUGGUUUUCAUUAUCUUUCAAUGAACAUUUUCAUUCUUGGGAGCAUUACUAGCUGUCUGCAGCAGACGAUCGCCGCCCCCUCCCCGAAAUGAAUGAUGUGUAAAACAAAAACGUGUUAAAACGCAUAGUUGUUUGUAAUGUCUCCUACCAAAGCGGGAGACAUUCUACCAAAUUUGGUAUUCCACUGACUCGCAAAGUGCUCUUGCUGUGCGAACAGGGAACCGUCCUGCUCCUGUCAGCAGCUUUGCUGCGGGAUGUGGAAAACCCAGGGGCAGCUCUGGACGUGUGGGAUGGCACUCGGCGCGCUGGGCGUCCUGCCCCGCGACCCCUUCUCCAGCGAAACGCCUCCAGAAGCCAACGAAAGGCGGGUGCUGCUGAUUUUUACUGUUAUUAACAUAUUAUUUUGAAGUGUCAACAAGUGCCCCCGCGCACGGGUGCGGAGGCUGCGGUCGGCUCUGGCGGGGGGAGCUGCCUCCCCGGAGCGGCUCUCGCCGGGCUGCGAGGCUGCGUCUCCAGCAGGCCCCGAGCAGGGCUCGUGCGGUUUCCCUUGCGUGAACAGCGUCCGGGGAGGAAGCAGAGGCCGCGCUGUGCAUCGCCGGCGAUAAUAAGGCAGGUGUCUGAGCCCUGCGACGCAGCGUCGCGAGCCUUCCCCUCGGCUCCGCUUCUUCCCACCAGUGUAUCUCCCUAACGCGCUGCCUGAGCUGCUUAUGUCACGAGAGAGGAUGCCAAAUGAUUUCUCUUUUCUUUUAAAGGCACCAGGAAACCCAGUUUAGAUUAGUCACAUAUUUCAUCUCGACUCGGUCGCGCGUUCCGGAGGCGCUCGGCAGCGGCGCGGCGCACCCCGCGCUGGCACGCACGCAGGCGCGCGCUGUUUGCUGCUUCCCCUGCAGUUGCUCCCACCAAUAAAUGUGCACUUGCUGCAGCCGGGAUGGAAAUCCUUAAGACAAAGGGCUUGAGUGGGCAGCUUUUAGUGCUGCGACAGAGCAGCAGGCCCCAAGCCGGGGGUGAGGCGCGUGUGAACGCUGCUCCCCUUGGCUUGGUGCUGUCUCCUGCGAGCAGCGUCGCGGUGCCGGAGCCCGCGUAAGGGCGGGGGCCCCAAGCCCACCAUCUCCCCAUUUCGAUUCUUGCUCCUACAACUGCAGCAAAUCCCAGAGAAAAGCUGGCUGAGCGGUGAACUUGGAGAGAGCGUGGAAGAGCAGGCUGGCGGGUAGAGCGGGGGACGGCGCCGGGGCUGGAGGCAGCACAGGAACCGGGCAGCGCGUGAAGGAGGAGACACAAAAGAAACGUGGCUCGGAGGAGGAGGAAGAGGGGGGAGUAAAAGGCGGCCAGACUGGUAUGGCAGAGGAGCUGCUCCGCGUACGGGUGCGCGGAUACGCACAGCUUAGCCUUUCGCCUUUGCAGCCUCUUUAGGCAGGCACCUGCUGAAGCGCGAGGAGGUUUUGGAGAAGCGUGUCGGGAUGUGCCCUGUGCAGAGCGGUCUGCAGUGCUGGCGGGGGCAGCUCCAGCGCUGAAAAGGUUUUCGCUCCCUUGAUCAGGGGUUGCAGGAGCCGGGCUGGGCUGGCGCUGCCGUGGCCGUGGUUCCCGUGCUGGGCGCCGGGACGUGGCAGGUUGUGGGGCCGUUUGGUGAUCCAGCACUCCUCGGCGUGCGCUGCAGACUGCUCUCGCGCGGCCGCCCUGAGCAGCGGGGCUCUGGCGUCGGUGAUGGGGCCGCCGCUCGCUUUUCCAAAGCAGGCUCCGUGGUGCGGUGCUCCGUCCGCUUACGUCAACGCAGACCUUUCCACUGACUCCAGUCUGGGUUGGAUCAAGCCUUGCAUGACUGCGGCCCCUGUGCAUUGCAGAGCUGUGUUAGUCUAUAUCUGGAUCCCAAUGGGGCACCCGGGAUGAGCCGAGCUCAGACAAUCCUUGGCAGGAGGGACAGGCUGGAGCUGCAAGGGCUUUUGUGCCAUUACUGGUUACUUGGAGGAGGGAAUGUACGCACCAGUUUAUUAUAUGACAACUUGAGGUCUGUCAUCUUCAGCAUAUUAGAAAAGCCUUGUUUUUAACAAAUCCCAGAGUGUUUACUAGGCAUCGUGCUGCAGCUGGCUUCGGAUCGCAUGCUGGUCGCGAGCAGAGGCACGGGGCCUUCUCUCCAUCUUGCUGCGCACCCAGCGACUUCUCCUGCUCCCGCCCCGGCCCCGUGGGUGCUCGCGUGCGAGCGACGGGCUGCUCUGCCUCGCUUGGCCGGGGGUGGAAAUCCCGGAGCAGCAAAACGCGUGCAGACGCGGCCGUGUCAGCACGGCCCGUGGAGCAACCGCUGCUCAAAGCUCUUCCUGACCAGCUACGUCUGCUCCUGCGUCCUCGAGUUUCGGCAGGGGGUUAUUUAUCAAGCUCAGAAGAGACUUGCCUCUCUAAAAUCAGAUCUUCAAAAUACGUCCCAAAGAUCCUGAGAUAGAUUUUAUGUUCUCUCUAUCAAUUGCUAAUUUCUGUAGUGAGAAUACAGUUUGAUACUUCGGUUGAAAAUUGUCUCGUGUGAAUUCACCCUGUCUCCUUUCUCUCUGGCUUUCUAAAUUGUGUGAAAAUUUAACCCGGUAGAGAUUUUUCAGCAAGGUUAUUUAGGUUUGCUGUAUCAAGGCCAACAAAUUCAAUCCAGACACCUGUCUUCCUCCAGAAGUGUUUAGGAACGAUGGAGGAAAUGUGUUUGGUUGUGUUUUGGUUUUCUGUUUUGGAAGGGGGAAGAGUUUUGAAAAUAGCGCUCUCUAUUUUUACCAAGCGUAAUUUUUAUUUUUGUCCAUCAUCAAAACACCUGAGCACCUAGCAAACUGUUAUUUUCAACAAUAUCCCCAUAAGGAGAAAUGCAAAAUAAUAAGCACAAGGAAUAGAUGUCAGCUUUAGACAGACGACUGUGUUUCUGGCAUCUGUUGCAGCCGGGUACAUUCCUUGAUCGUUUCUGAGUCUGCAAUUAUUUUUAUGCCUGCCCAGUGUCCCAGAGAUGUGAAAUGGAGCUGCCAUGCUAUGCUGCUGAGCGCUGAAACUCUGCACAGACAUUCAAUUUAAUCUCUUGGAACAGACUGCAUUAAAGUAGUUUCAUCAGUGCACACUCGUAAUAAAAAGGCGACGUGAAGAAAGACAGUGAACUGAAAGGCCCUGCUUUUUUCCGGGAAGACAAUAGGAUAUCUAUGCCUCAGUUUGUUUCAUGGAUUCCUCGCACAGCCAUUUACAUUCAGCAGAAGGCUCUGAAUAUCUAAACUUUAUCCUGGGCAUUUUUCAGUGCUGGAAAGGGAUAGAGUUAAAUGUCCUAGGGGAGUUUUAUAUAAAAAUGCUAUGUGCAAUGUUAAUGAGUUGGGAUGGGGUCACACAUUUUUCAGUACAGAGCCGGUACAGAAACAAAUACAGGACUUGAGGAGACAUGAUCUGCAGGGAUCCACUGAUCUGUGGCCCUGGGGGAUCCUGCACCACUGUAACCCCUGAAGAUAGGCAAAAUGAUCUCAGGGGAUGUUAGCCCAAAGUGGCCCCAUGUGCCUCUGCCUCCGGCUCCCGCGCGGCUCUUUCUGGGCUCUGUGAAUAGCUGGGGCUGGAAGAAACGGCAAACUUCGUGGGUGCCACAGGAGAUUGCAUCAGCAUUACUGAUCCUCGCUCGGCUCGUUACUCAAAAUGCAUCAAGCAGCUAUAUGGGUCAGACUGCUAAAUUUGUAGACACGGAGUGUCAGGAAGCCUUUUUGUCAACUUCGUACCAUUUAGUAUGUUUGUCCUCAAGUUCAAAGCAGUCCUGGCCUCAGACUUGUGAUAUUUUCUGCCCUUUCCCCUCUCUGUUGACUCAGACCUCUUCCCUUUGAGGUCAACAUCAAAAUAAAGAUGUAUGUUUCCUCCGCCUGA